GACGAACGCUGGCGGCGUGCUUAACACAUGCAAGUCGAACGAUGAAGCCGGAGCUUGCUCUGGUGAAUUAGUGGCGAACGGGUGAGUAACACGUGAGUAACCUGCCCUUGACUCUGGGAUAACUGCGGGAAACUGUAGCUAAUACCGGAUACGACCCUCGGAGGCAUCUGCUGGGGGUGGAAAGAAUUUCGGUCAAGGAUGGACUCGCGGCCUAUCAGCUAGUUGGUGAGGUAAAGGCUCGCCAAGGCGACGACGGGUAGCCGGCCUGAGAGGGUGACCGGCCACACUGGGACUGAGACACGGCCCAGACUCCUACGGGAGGCAGCAGUGGGGAAUAUUGCACAAUGGGCGCAAGCCUGAUGCAGCAACGCCGCGUGAGGGAUGACGGCCUUCGGGUUGUAAACCUCUUUUAGCAGGGAAGAAGCGAAAGUGACGGUACCUGCAGAAAAAGCACCGGCUAACUACGUGCCAGCCGCCGCAGUAA
rnacentral:rRNA from 1 species